CUCAAGGAAAUAAAGAGUGGAGGCAAGUCAGCUGACCUCAACAGCCGAGUACGAUCCAAAUAAACCUGGAGACAAGCCACAGGGCACAAAGCAGGUCUGAUGGAGCAUCUAGGAUAGUCCACCGACUUGGAAGCCGACUUAGUCCUCCUUGAGAUAUUAAACGACACACCUCCGGGGGUGAACGAGACUGCGUUCCAGUCCAGAGCCCUGACGUCCGAUACCCUCUUACACAAAAGUAGACACAGAAGCAUAACCAGUUUCCAUGAUAACUGUUUGAGUGUCA